rnacentral:rRNA from 1 species
CUCCUAAGGCUAAAUACUCUCUAGUGACCGAUAGUGAACCAGUACCGUGAGGGAAAGGUGAAAAGCACCCCGGAAGGGGAGUGAAAUAGAACCUGAAACCGUGUGCUUACAAGUAGUCAGAGCCCGUUAAUGGGUGAUGGCGUGCCUUUUGUAGAAUGAACCGGCGAGUUACGAUUUGAUGCAAGGUUAAGCAGUAAAUGUGGAGCCGUAGCGAAAGCGAGUCUGAAUAGGGCGUUUAGUAUUUGGUCGUAGACCCGAAACCAGGUGAUCUACCCUUGGUCAGGUUGAAGUUCAGGUAACACUGAAUGGAGGACCGAACCGACUUACGUUGAAAAGUGAGCGGAUGAACUGAGGGUAGCGGAGAAAUUCCAAUCGAACCUGGAGAUAGCUGGUUCUCUCCGAAAUAGCUUUAGGGCUAGCCUCAAGUGAUGAUUAUUGGAGGUAGAGCACUGUUUGGACGAGGGGCCCCUCUCGGGUUACCGAAUUCAGACAAACUCCGAAUGCCAAUUAAUUUAACUUGGGAGUCAGAACAUGGGUGAUAAGGUCCGUGUUCGAAAGGGAAACAGCCCAGACCACCAGCUAAGGUCCCAAAAUAUAUGUUAAGUGGAAAAGGAUGUGGCGUUGCCCAGACAACUAGGAUGUUGGCUUAGAAGCAGCCAUCAUUUAAAGAGUGCGUAAUAGCUCACUAGUCGAGUGACACUGCGCCGAAAAUGUACCGGGGCUAAACAUAUUACCGAAGCUGUGGAUUGUCCUUUGGACAAUGGUAGGAGAGCGUUCUAAGGGCGUUGAAGCAUGAUCGUAAGGACAUGUGGAGCGCUUAGAAGUGAGAAUGCCGGUGUGAGUAGCGAAAGACGGGUGAGAAUCCCGUCCACCGAUUGACUAAGGUUUCCAGAGGAAGGCUCGUCCGCUCUGGGUUAGUCGGGUCCUAAGCUGAGGCCGACAGGCGUAGGCGAUGGAUAACAGGUUGAUAUUCCUGUACCACCUAUAAUCGUUUUAAUCGAUGGGGGGACGCAGUAGGAUAGGCGAAGCGUGCGAUUGGAUUGCACGUCUAAGCAGUAAGGCUGAGUAUUAGGCAAAUCCGGUACUCGUUAAGGCUGAGCUGUGAUGGGGAGAAGACAUUGUGUCUUCGAGUCGUUGAUUUCACACUGCCGAGAAAAGCCUCUAGAUAGAAAAUAGGUGCCCGUACCGCAAACCGACACAGGUAGUCAAGAUGAGAAUUCUAAGGUGAGCGAGCGAACUCUCG